UACGGGGGGGGCAAGCGUUGUUCGGAAUUACUGGGCGUAAAGGGCUCGUAGGUGGCCAACUAAGUCAGACGUGAAAUCCCCAGGCUCAGCUUGGGAACUGCGUCUGAUACUGGUUGGCUUGAAUUCGGGAGAGGGAUGCAGAAUUCCAGGUGUAGCGGUGAAAUGCGUAGAUAUCUGGAGGAAUACCGGUGGCGAAGGCGGCAUCCUGGACCGAUAUUGACACUGAGGAGCGAAAGCCAGGGGAGCAAACGGG
rnacentral:rRNA from 1 species